AGUCUGUCGAGUGCCCUGGCAUUGCCUGAGGAUAGACAAGCAAGCACACGUCCCUUCCCAGUAAGACUCUGCUAUCUUUUGGGGCCUGCAAGGUGAGCUGACAGU